ensembl:lncRNA
UUUUUUUUUUUUUUUGGCCGUCUACUUUUUUUUUUUUUUUUUUUUUUCUGCACCUGUGGCAUAUGGAAGUUCCCAGGCUAGGGGUCAAAUUGGAGCUGUAGCUGCCAGCCUACACCACAGCCACAGCCACAGCCACACCAGAUCCAAGCAGUGUCUUGGACCUACACCACAGCUCUCGGUAAUGCCAGAUCCUUAACCUACUGGGCAAGGCCAGGGAUUGAACCCACAUCCUCAUGGAUUCUAGUAGGGUUUGUUACCAAUGAGCCACAAAGGGAACUCCUCUAAUAUGUUUUUGUUGUUGUUAUUUGGCAGAAAUUUGUGAGGUGAUUCUAAAAUUCAUAUGAAAACACCCAGGGCCAAAACUAUGCUGGGUAAACUUGAGGAAGAACAUAGUGAACACAAAGAACACACCACUGGAUAUCAAGAACAAGCUCUGGUGGGAGCUCCCUGGUGGUCUACUGGUUAGGACUUGGCACAUUCACUACUGCAGCCCAGAUUUGAUCCCUGGUCUGGGAAUUGACAUCCCACACCAAGCUGCUGCAUGCUGUGACCAAAAAAAAAAGCUCUUUGGUAAUUUGGUAUUAGUGCAAAGAUAAAACUGGGCUAUGGGACUGAACAGAGUCACCUGACCUCUCACAGAGGGGACACAGCAAUGCAGCAGGGAAUGGAUCCUGUUUCAGUAAACAGUGCUAAGUCAAUUAGAUAGCCAUAUGGAAAAUGACCUUGACCCCUAUUUCACACCAUGCACAAAAAUCAUUCCAGAUGGUUUGCAGAUCUAAUUACAAAAUAUCACACAAUAACGCUUUUAUAGGAAAACAGAGUAGGCAAGUGUUUCUUAAACAGGAUGCAAAAAGUACUAGCUGUAAAAGAAAAAAAAACUGAUACAUCGAACUAUAUUAAAAUUAAGAACUUUGGUUCAACAAGAGACAUCAUGGAAAUAGUGAAAAUGGGGAGUUCAGCAGUUUAAAGACACAACAUUGUCUCUGUGAGGAUGUGAGUUCGGUCCCUGGCCCUGCUCAGUGGUCGGAUUCAUUAACCAUUGCACCACGACGGGAACUCCAAGAGUAUUUGUAGUACUUAUAUCUGACAACAAAUUCUUCUCCAGAAUAAAGAAUUUCUACAAAUCAAUUAGAGAACUCCAGACAACCCAACAGAAAAUGGGCAAAAGACUUGACCAGGUAUCUGGUAAAAGAGGAGCUCUGGGUGGGCAAUGAACAUAUGAAAAGGUGCACAGCUUCACUAGUUGUCAAAAAAAAUACAAAAUAUGUCCCCAACAUGCUACCACUAUCUACCCAUUGGAGUAGCCAAAAUGAAAGAGGGAACAUGCCAAGUGUUGGCAAAUAUAUGGCAAAAUGGAACCGCCAUAUGCCGUCAGUGGGAAUGUCAA